rnacentral:misc_RNA from 1 species
UACGGAGGGUGCAAGCGUUGUCCGGAAUCACUGGGUGUAAAGGGUGUGUAGGUGGAUCUGUAAGUCAGAGGUGAAAGCCCACAGCUUAACUGUGGAACUGCCUUUGAUACUGCUGAUCUUGAGUACUGGAGGGGCUGCUAGAAUUCGUGGUGUAGCGGUGAAAUGCGUAGAUAUCACGAGGAAUACCAAAGGCGUAGGCAGGCAGCUGGACAGUUACUGACACUGAGGCACGAAAGCGUGGGGAGCAAACAGG